GCGCUCGGUUGUGCCGUUAUCGUGCAAUGCUUCAUCCCCGGUGCCGUUCAAUCCCAGGUCGUUUUCCCUUUCAGCUGCAAUGCCGGGAUUUUAAAUAGCAGAGAUGAAAGGCCCCUGCCCCCGCCUCCCUCCUCCCCUGAGUUCAUGUAUUAUGAAUGAAACGGCAGCCUCGCUGCUUCCUGAGGUGCUCCACUUCAGGUUGGAGUGCAGUGGUGCUGUGUCUGGAGUUUGUUCCUGCCGUUGGGUUUGUGGUCUUGCUGACUUCAAGAAUGAAGCCACGGACCUUCACGAGAAAUAUUACGUUGUAUGGAUGUACCACUGUUUGUUUAUCCAUUCUUCAGGUGAAGGACAUGUGGGUUGUGCCCAGCGCGGGCUGAAUAAAGUCCAUCGCCUUGGCUUAGUGCAUGUCACCAAAAAUUCUCCAGGAAUUUCAUAGUUUGGACCUUGGUGGCAUGGCUGGCCCUGGAUUAUCCAUGCAGGGAGGCCUGAUCCUGUGACAGCUGGCUGCAGCAGGGGGCUGCCCAUCUUCUGUGCUUUGUGGUACAUAUCUGUGUCACCAAAGUAGCGGCCUCGGUACAGCAAGCCUUUCAUCUGCUGCUUCUCCGUCCAGCAGUUGUUCCAGAGGUUGGCGAUAUAAUCAUCUUUCACAUUCGGUUUGACUGUUUGGAGGCUGGAGCCUGUGUACUCCUCGGAGAAAAUGCCUGCCACAUAGUAGAUGACACUCAGGUGGUCAGUGACUCGCCUGUGAUGUGGCCCACAAACAGUCUUGGGCUCAGACUGUAGGGUGGACUGGAGACCAUGAGCUGGCUGAGAGCUGACAUGAGGAUGAGGAUGGGUAUCAGCUGCACGAACACCCGCAAGCUGCCGUCACUCCGCUUCUCCCUGCAGCCCUGCCUUUGCUGAUUUAUAUUCCUCAUAGUCUACACCAAAGAGCCCAGGGUGGAGUGGAAGAUGCUGCAGAGUUAUUGCAAGGGGGUCUGUGACCCGUGCAACAAGCCCUGCCUGUAGAGCAAAUAUAUCUUGCCUUACGCAUGUACGUUCUACUAUUUUUCAAAUGCAUAUUUCACACUUCUAUGUUCUACUGUUUUUCAAAUAUAUAUAAAUACUACUGUGAUUACAAUAAAGGGAUUGAUUACAAAGUGUGGAAUUCAGAGUGAAUUGUCAUUCCUCUGCUACUCUUGCCUCAAACCACAACCAAUGUCAAAUCAGUCGCCUAGCUUGCUUCCGAUUUCUUCCUACUUCCACCUCUUCAGUCAAGAACCAGGCCUUGUCAGUUACUCCUUCACAGUCUCACAUAUGUGUCCUUUCUUCAGCCUUUGUCACCCAACGCUAGCCCUUAUCACUCCUCCACUCACGGGGACCAGGGCUGCCCACGUGGUCCCGAGGCCUGAAUCCAGAGCGUCCCUCCCACUGCCACCAAGUACAUCUUCCUACUGGCCCACACAAGUCCUUGGUGUCAAAAUAUUUAGGGCUUCCAGUCUCCUUAACCUGAUAUCCCACCUGCUUUACAGUGUGGCAUGAAGAACUAUCUCUUGAACACAAAACAAGUCACCUUAUCAUUUACAUUGUCUAAUAUUUAAAAAACAACUUUUAAAAACCAGUUUUGUGGCCAGGCAUGGUGGCUCACGCCUGUAAUCCCAGCACUUUGGGAGGCCGAGGCGCGUCAUGAGGUCAGGAGUUUGAGACCAGCCUGGCCAACACAUCGAAACCGCGUUUCUUCUAAAAAUACAAAAAUUAGCUGGGCAUGGUGGCGGAUGCCUGUAAUCCCAGCUGCUAGGGAGGCUGAGGCAGGAGAAUUGCUUGAACCCAGGAGGCAGAUGUUGCAGUUAGCCAAGAUUGCACCACUGAACUCCAGCUCCGGCAGCAGAGUGAGACUCUGUCUCAAAAAAAAAAAAAAUCAGUUUUGUGUUCCAUUAAAAUACAUUAAGUCGGGUGUGGUAGCAUGUGUCUGUAAUCCCAGCACUUUAGGAGGCUGAGGCAGGAGGAUCCCUUGAGGCCAGGAGUUGGAGACCAGCCUGGACAACAUAG
rnacentral:lncRNA from 1 species